AUCACAACAGAUGCACCUUUAUUAAGGGCCAAAAACAAUAAAUGCGAUAGUGGGGUCAGAAAAGAAAUAAAAAGGAGAGAGAGAGAGAGAGAGGGGAGAUGGGAAUAGCUACCAACACAGGCGAGGUCCUCAGUGGUCCGGACGAUGGGGAUCCGUCUUGUUGUGUUGGGGAGAGUCUCCAAAGUCCUACCCAACCCAGGGGUCCAGUUAUAGUCCACAGAGGGAAAAGGGGGGAACAUGCAGAACAAUGAGAGUCUAUUGAAAUUGCUAUGGGGGGAACAGGUGUAUCUACAGAAAAUCAUCCAGGCUGAACAAACACAAUGAUGAAUAAGUCCAUUGAAGUUACUGGAGAAGAACAGGUCAUGUCAUUUCCCCCCACCACCACUCUCUGUGGUAGGGGUCUCAGUCUCAGUCCUUGGGGAGAGGGUUCUUGAUCUCCGUCUGUCACGGUGGUAACGAGGCAGAUGAGGGGUCUUCAGUGAGAGACCACCAGAGUCACCCCAACAGUUCAUUCAGCUUAAAGGUGGAGAGUGAAGCAGGAAUUGCAGAGGGCCGCUCUGUGCUGGGUCCACGCUGGGUCUUCGCCAAGUCCUUGCCAACUUCUUGCCAAGUUCUUGCCGGGCCUCAUUCGGAACGGAACGUAACGGUACAGCGGCUGCACCUGCACUGUUGCCUUCUCCAAGCCGGAACUGCAGUGGGGGAAGGGAGUUCCUUCUCGUGGCAAUCGGCAGGCAAAUGAGUGAGGGUCUUCAGACGGCCUCUUACACCACCCCGUGACUGACGAUUGCCCCCAAGAGAUCUUCUGUAGUGUCGUUGUGAAGUCUUCAGGACUCGUCUAGUGUUGGCAGCAUAUCCCAGAGAAGGGAAAGGAAAGAAAAGGAAGGGAAAAAGGGAAUAGGGGAAAUAGUAAAACACUAACAAUAAUUAAUAAAUUGAAUCAAUAUUAAUUGAAACAAUUUUAAUUGGAACAAUUUUCUAAUCAAUAAACAAUGAGUUGAUUAAAUAAUAUUAAAACAAUUCUUUAAACUAAUAAAACAAUCUUUAAGAAUUCAAAUCAGGUUUAAAACAAACAAUCUUCCAAUCUUAUAAUUGCUUUGUGUCUAUAGUCCUGGGGAUGUCUAUAGUAUAAAGCACAUCGGCCAAGUGGUGUGCAUUAAUUAUAGCUGUCAAUUUUGUUAAUCGUUUUAUCAUUCUCCAAUUCAUAAUAAGCAAGAUUGCUGAUAAAGCAAAGCCAAUCAAAACUAAAAUCAAAAGGACAACAAUGGGAUGACACAAUUUGUUCAGGAUACCUGUAGCAGUAGGUGACCACCCAAAAAGUGUAUCCCACCACCUAUGUUCUGCAUCACUUUUCACUCUUUCUAUAACCCGAUGUAUUUCUUGUACAUCAUGAUGAAUAGUUACCAGUGUUUUCUGUCCGUUCUCCUUGAUUUUUCCUAAGAUUUUAAUUAAGUCCUGGUGAAGCAACAAUUGCCUUACCAGAGUAAGAUUCAUUCCAAUGGGGGUAGGCAAUAGCUUAUGGAUCAGCGUGUAAUUAGAUUCUAAAAGUUGAUAUGAAGUAACUGGAGCUUCAAAAGAAAAAUCACAUCCUGUAAUUUUAGUGAAAUUGCAAGCACAAAAAUUUGAAUGAUUUUUAGUAUCUACUACUGUGUCUUCUACAUACACUGUGUUACAAGCAGUUCUAAAGCAUGCACAUCCAUUGCCUAUAUAUACAAGGAAUGUUUUAGGAGUUUUGUUAGGAUGAAUUUCAAAGUGACAGAUAUUUUGUUCAGUGUCCAGGCAAAUAUCCUGAGCUAUAAUUGCAUUGCCUUCACAGAUGAACCCUUGUUGUUCUCGGACAAUACAAGAUUCUAAGUUAACAGUUUGCCAUUUAUCAUCAAUUUGUCGGGCCCAUUCUCUAUGCUCGGAAGGAUAGAGAGUGGCUCCAUCAUGAUUCAAUCCUAAUGCAAUAAUGGGGAAUAUUGAAUGCACGGAGGCAUUGCGUAUGGUUAACACAAAAGCUGUGGCUAAGUUUGCAGUGGGGUCAUAAGUAAAGUUCACCAAAUUCCACCAGGAUUGGAAAUCUUUUUCAAAGUCAGUGGCACUGUCCCAAACUAUCUUCCGAAUUUCCAUAGGAAACGUGCCUUCUUCACCUUCUCUUAUAAUUGAAGCAGCAACUGACUGCAUCCAUAAUUGUGCCUGGAUGCAGCUAAGGGCUAAGGAAACGUUGCUUUGUGUAGCAUUGAGUGCAUCAAUUAUCAAUUCGUGGUCAUUCAUAUUUACCUUUUCCCAAUUUGGUAAUAUGUUUGUUAGCAACCACUGAUGUGUUCCCAAGGCUGAUAAGGAUGAUUGCAAUGGUUGUUGUAAUUGGGUCAAAUCUUUGGUUGUAGCAGCCAAUUUAUUUAAUAAUACUUCUGAAUUAAUACUAUUUAGAAUUCCCAAUCCUGUUCCCACAACACCAGUUAUGUCUCUUGGUUUCCGUGUUUUAGAAGGGUUCCACUGUCGUAACCAGGUCGUCCAACCCUGGAAAGAAGUUUGCAAGAAAGGUGAACAAGCUGGCUGAAUUUCAGAGACAUUACUUUGCAUUAGCAAUUUAACUUGUUUAAGAGACCAUGCCGGAUUGAACAAUAUUUGUUGUUGGCCAGUUUUCCUGAUAAUAUAUGGUCCAACUUUUGAGAUUUUUGGAGUAAGCAUAACUGGUGGUUGAGUUUGAGUGGUGGUGGUGGUAUGAACUGUAGUAGUUUGGGUUAUAACAUUUAUUACGAAUUUAAAAGAAAGUCCUUCGGUGUCUUUGCCCCAAAGACAAACUACUUCAGCAGUUUGUGUUAGUGUAAAAUUGUGCCAACACUCUUGUAUGCUUGGGUGCGUGCAAACCUCCUCUCGCUUGUUUGUUUUACCUGUUAGGACACUAAUUGAAGUUGCUUUAUCGUAGGCAGUUUUGUUAAUCAUUCGGCACCCUAUACUAAUUUUCUCCCCCAUUUCCCCUUGAAGCUGCCAAGUUUUUUGUUCUUUCCAUUCUUGCUUAGUGUAUAUUUGAUUAUUAUGCAUAACAAGAGUUAAUAGAUUUAAAUCUUUUACAUUUCCCAUGUACCCAGAGAAAUAAACAAAAGCUUGUGACCAUGGCCCUUCGGUAAAGGGACUUUCUAUCAAUUGGGGUGCAAUUAUUGUGUCAUUGUUAGUUGUAACAUCAAUUUUAAAUUUGUAAACCAGACCUUGUAAAUCCAACGGAUUGGUUAAAUUAUUUUGCCAAAGACAUGUCACAUAAGUAGUUUUAGCUAAGACAAAACUAUACCAGCAAUCAUUGGGUUCAUAUUCACAAUCUAAGGUAAUUACUACAUUGUUGUUUUGGGGACUUGAAGUAUAGUUACCAAUAUAUUCUUGACGGCAGCACAGGGUAAGGGGAAAUGUUUUGAUACACUCCCAUUUCUUUGUAGGGCACACUUUUGUUGAAGGAAUUUCUAGAUUAUUUUUUCCUCCUGGUUCCAUAAAACUUCCAGCAACUGUGAUAGAAGAAGCUUUCUCAUGUAAGGAUCCUUCUACCUUUCUGCAUGCUACCACAAUAGUCUCACCAAUCGUUCCAGUUAGGGUUCUGGUCCAGUCCUUCUGAUCCCAUUUCCACUCACUUGGACGAUAUACCUUAGAGUUAUGUAGCACGACAGUUGCCAGAUUUGGGUGGCGAUCUUUAGGAUAUGAUCCUAUCACCUCAGUGUGUUCGAUGGUAGCUUCCGACCACGACCACUCAGAGGGGUGUUGGCUGUAGAUUUGUGGUAAAAUGCAGAGGAGUAUCACCAAUUUUAUCAUGGUUCAGAUGAUAAAGUCCCACGGGGUUCUUCUGUAAAAGCAAACAUAACAAGAAAAUCCUGCCACUAUAUGGCAGAAAAGGUUAGAAUGAUGGAAUUAUCCAGCGUGUAUUUAUCCGAUGCUCUUUUCCUAGAGCAUCAGAGGCUAUCCAUGUAUAUUUGUUCAGAGGGGUUUUCAGCACAAGUGGUACCUGCCCUACAGUGGGGAGGUCUACCAAGACAGGUUGUCCAGGGUAAUGUGCAGGAUUUUUAGGAUCAUUAGGUCCUUGCAGUGAGGGAAUGAUGCUUGGAGCUGUUGGACAAAAAGCAGUGAUCUUGGGACACCCAUUUAUUCCCCACCUGUCAUUUACACCUUUUACAGCAUUCCACAACCGAAGAUCCCAAUUUCCUUCCUGUGGUCUCAAUAGUCGUUUUAAAAGACCAUUAGUCCUUUCUACGAUCCCGUUAGCUUGGGGAUAGUAAGGGGUGUGAAAAGUCCAUUUAAUUCCUUCACUUUUUGCCCAGUCCUGUACAACUCUAGCAGUGAAAUGAGAUCCAUUAUCAGAUUGUAUUUCCUGGGGCUUAGGGAAAGUUCCAAACCACCCCUGCAAAGCUUUGACAGUAUUGUCCCCUGUAGCCCUUUUGAAAGCAUCAGCUUGGACUAACCCAGAUACAAUCUCUACUCCUACUAGUACAAAAUGUUUUCCUCCUGAUUUCUUGAAGGGACCGAUAUAAUCUAUCUGCCAUGCAUCCCAUAAACCUUUACCUUUCCUUAAAUGCAAAGGGUCAUCUUCUAAAGGGUGUCUUUCCAGUCGCCUGCGACACUGCUCACAAGCUGAUAUGCAGGUUUUACACAUUUCUCUGGUAACAGGCCAACCUCGAGCAUGAGCUUCUUGAUAUAAAUCUUUCACACCUGUGUGCUGUCUUUUGACAUGAAGCCAUUCUAACAGUUGAUCCCAUUCCUCUGUAAUUUGCUCCUUUUUCAGGGGACUAAGCCUUGCUAGUUCAUCAGCUUUAUUAUUCCACUCUCCUGCUGGAUUUCCAUCUGUUUGAUGAGAGGCUACCCAGCCCACUGCAAAAUUCCCCUGACUUGCAAUAUUUAAUAUUUCUUGCCAUUUUUCCUUUUGCCAGACUGGGAUUCUAUUCACUUCCCAAUCAUUUUGUUGCCAAAAAGGAAGCCACUCAGUACAACCUUUGUACACAGCAUAUGAGUCAGUGUAAAUGUAGACUGAAGAGGAAUUUUGUGCUUCUCUUUGGAAAACACUCCAGACAGCUAUUAGUUCCCCAACCUGUGCGCUACCUUCUCCCUCUGUGAUAAUUUGCUCACCAGAAGAGAUGUGGAGUGCUGCUGCUCUAUAUUUCCAUAUCUUUCCUUCCCUUUUAGCAGAAGCAUCAGUGAACCAGGAGUUUGCUGAUUUUUCAGGGCAGAAAGGAGGGGCCACUUUGAUUACAGAGGCAGGUUUGUCCUGGCUGCUAUCCAAGCUCUCAGUUUCUUGUAUUGCCAAAUUUUUCACAGCUCCUUCUGUUAUUGUAAAGAUGUUACAGUAAUGUUCAAUCUGAGCAUACCACUUUCUUACCGAGGCCCUCUGGGCCACCCCGUCAGGAGGGGGGGUCCCAUUGAUGACUGUCUUGAUAACCUUGAAGGGGCCUCUUAGUAUAAUAGGUUGUUGACGUGUAAUCUUUUCUACUUCAAUGAGGGCUAGGCUGACUACAAACAAUCCCUUUUCCCAGGUAGUGUACCUUUUCUCAGCAUCUCUGAAACCACGGGAAUAGAAACCAACAGGCCUUGUUGGACCCUCGGGUCCCCGCUGCCAAAUGUGUACUGACAAUCCUGAGACAGCAAAUCCCCAUUCUACCUGAAAGGGGUCUGUAGGAUGAAUAGGGCCCAGUGCUUGAUGAGCAGUUGCUUCAAAAAUUAGUAAUUGCAAUGCUUCUUCCUGAGAAGGAGUCCAAUCCCAUUUUACCCCUUUUCUUAGCAAGUCAUAAAGGGGCCUAGCAAUUAUUGAGAAAUCUGGAAUGUGUUUUCUCCAAAACACUAAUAAUCCCAGAGCCUGUUGUAGAUCUUUCCUGGAAUGAGGCAUUUUAAUCUGAUCUAAAGAAGUUAAGGUAUCAGGUGGAAUACAUGUCAUGCCUCCUUUCCACCAAAUCCCCAGAAACUUUACUUCUUGAGAGGGUUUUUGAACCUUUUCUGGGGGGAUCUGUAAAUCGAGACUCUCUAAAUGGGAGAUUAUUUUCUGUUGAGUCUCUCUUACUGCUUCAAUUUCAUCCCCUCCCACCAAAAUAUCAUCAAUGUAUUGAUACACUGCUACAUCAUCAGGUUUGGAUAUCUCCUCUAGUUCUUUAGCUAAGGCAUGGUGGGCUAAGGUGGGUGAAUGCUUGUAUCCUUGUGGGAGUCUAGUGAAAGUGUAUUGCUGUCCUUCCCACGUAAAGGCAAAACGGUCCGUAUCUUCUGGUUGUAAUGGUAUCAUAAAAAACAUAUCUUUGACAUCUAUAGUUGCCAUAAUUGGAUGAGCUUUUUCUUGAAUAGAUGUUAUUAAUUCUGCUAAGUUUGGGACCGCUGCUGUGAGAGGAUCUGUGUUGGCAUUAAGCCUGCGAAAAUCGACUGUCAGUCUCCAUUUCCCAUUAGGUUUUCGGACUGGCCAGACGGGUGAGUUGAAAGCAGAAUGUGUGUUAAUUAUUACCCCCUGGUUUCGCAAAUCCUGUAUAACAGGUUUGAUACCUUCUCUGGCACCAGAAGGUAGGGGGUAUUGUUUUACAUUGGUGGUUUUGCUAUAUGGCAGAGCAGGUGCAGUUUGAAGCAGCCUUAUAUUUAAAGGCAUAGCACCAAAACACCAUAAAGAUCCUUCUGAGUCCUCCCACUGUCUCCCAACAAGGACAUCCAUCCCUAGUAAAUUGUUUGGGAUGUCCCCGAUUACCAUUUUAACAACCAAUUGAUCCUCAUCUCCAGGAAGAGUAAGUUUAACUAAGGCCACAUUCAUAGAUUCUGACAUUCCUAGAGCAUUAAGGACACAGUAUUGUCUCUUAGUCGGAACAACACCGCUCCUCUGGGCAUCUUUUUCUGUUAAUGCAGAGAUUUGAGCCCCAGUGUCAAUCAAAAAGGUUACAAGAGCACGUUUGGGACCCACGAUAGCUGUGAUCAAAAUAUCUCCUGAUUUAUUUUUAGUGAGCCUUCUUAAAUAUACCCAUGCUCCGUCUCUUCGCUCACCUGUAAGGGACGGAGAAAUUAGUUUCCCUGGUGUUGUGUCAGUUCAUUGCUCAGAUUUUGAGGAAAAGGCUGAGAAAGAGAUGACUCACCGCCUGGAUUUUGAGAGAGAAACUGGGAAAAUGUUAAGUUUGGGUCACAGCCUGAGUUCUGAGAGGAAAGUUGUGAAAUGGUUAGUUUUUGUCCACUACCCCGGUUUUGCGGGAGGGACUGUGAGAAAGUUGUUUCCUUACCCAUGUUCUGAGGAAGAGUGGGUGCACUAGGGUGUGUACCGGGUUGAACUGAUGGAUUUGAUUUUCGAUAGCGCCAAUUAGUUAUUAUUUUCUGUAAUUUAUCAAGGGGUAGACCAUCCAUUACUUCUCUGGGGACCCCCUUUUGGACUCCCAGUGACCACCAAUGCUGGCGGUUAGGGUUCUGUUUUCCCUUUUCUGGAUUUUUACUGUAAGGAGUCCCAAUAGACCGAAUCCCUUUUGUUUUCUCUGAUUUUUCUGGUUUCUCCUCUGGGGUUUUUACAGGUCCAUAUUUUCUACAAUAAUUGAUCAAAUCCUCUGCAACUUCACCCCAUGUCCAAAUUUUAUGGUUACUGCCAGGUGAACUGGUUUGUGAAUUUACAUCUUGGAGAGGAGAACAGGAUGGAGUAAAACCAGGAUCAGUAGAUCCAGUGCGAUCAGUGGGGUUACCAAGAAAUCUAUUUAGUCUUUCUACAGGGCUUAAUGUCAUGAUAGUUUUCUGUAAGGCUAUGGCAGUAGGUUUGAGUAUUUCUGGAAGCCCACGAAUUAAAGGAGUCAUUAGUUCAGGCUUCACAGGUAAUUGCAUUGGGGAUUCAAAGCCAGGAAUUAAUUUCUUUUCAUGAAUCAUUUGCAGACAAGCGGCUUUGUGUACACUUUCUAGGAGCUGGUCGGGGGUACUAAUUAUAGCUAUAGGAUCUCCCCUUUCCAAGGGGUUUGUUCCCCCGGCCCAGAAAGCCGCGCGCUGUGUCAGGGACCACGAGUCACGUUUAUCUCCUGUUGUUAAGAAGACACCGUGUCCCCAGUACCCACUGGCUUCUUGUUCAGUUAAUUUAAUUUGAUCGCCACCGGUGAGGGACACCCGGAAAACAUAUUCUGUUUCUGAUUCGUAUGGGAGGCGUCCGUAUUCUUUUUUAAGCUUAGCUAACUCGGUGGCAGUGUAUGGUAUGUGUUUGGUUGUGAUGUGGGGUUCAAGAUCAUCAUCACUGAGAUAGUUAUAUUCUGUUUUAAUUAAGGGUCUUAAAUGAGAGCAGCAAUGUUCCCCACAAUUAUUUACUGCCUCAAGUUCUUUGUGAGGAUAAAUUUGGUUAAUGCGAGGAGUUUCCUUUUCCUCGGGAUUUAUAGAGGAAUCAGCAUUAUGUGACUUGUUAACGUGUUCCUCUUUUAAGGCAGCUCUCAAUGCACAGUUCUCAUUUCUCAAUGAAUGUUUUUCAUUCCUUUCUUCAUGUAAUUGUUUUUGUAAAAUUUCAACCAAAUUUUGAAGGGAGUCUAUUAUUGUUUCUUGCUCACUUCUUCGCUGGAAGCGAGUUUCUACAGCUGCCGUAAGACAAGCUCCCAAAACUGAGCAUAAGAUGGUUUUAUUUCUGCCCAGUUUAAAUUUUGUAUCAUGUUGUAAAGAACAUAUUCUAUCAACCACAUUAUCCAAAUUAAACCAAUUACUUUGUGCCCAUUCUUCUCCUCCUGGAGAAGGUUUGGCAUUGUAUUUAGCUAGUAAAGCAUAAAAUUCAACUUUACCCUUAUCGUUAAGGUUAUCACUCAUUUUGUGAAGGGACCAAAACCACGGCAGGGAGGUACAAACUUAAGUUACGCAAAGCACACAGUCUUCGCUGUGUCGCCCUUCACUUCCCUGGGUGGGUGAAGAGACAAAACCUGCCUAGGAGGCUCUGCUUAGUUUCCUCAAGUUGUCCCUUCCUUCCCAGACAGUGCAAACAUACACAUAAAACAACACAGUGUCCCGCCUUUUGCACUAAGAGAUCUUUUGCAAUUUCUGAAGACAGUGUGGGUGCUUUUUUCGCCUAGGCAAUGUGCAGUCUGCGGGAAAUUCGAAUCUCCCCCCUUGCUUUCUAGACCAUGCUCAGUUUUUUGGACUGGCAGGCUAGGUGCGGCUGGAGAGAAACGUCCUUCCCCUGUUACAGACUACACAGAACCUGCACCCUUCUGCCUAGACAGAAAUCCUGUCCGUGACGCCAAUUUAAUGUCACGAUCCGCUUAUAGCGGGGUGUCGUGAUGGUUCGUUAGCCGAUCCCAAAGUGCAAAAGACAAACAGCAGGGGACUAUCAGUUUAAUCACAACAGAUGCACCUUUAUUAAGGGCCAAAAACAAUAAAUGCGAUAGUGGGGUCAGAAAAGAAAUAAAAAGGAGAGAGAGAGAGAGAGAGAAGGGGGGAUGGGAAUAGCUACCAACACAGGCGAGGUCCUCAGUGGUCCGGACGAUGGGGAUCCGUCUUGUUGUGUUGGGGAGAGUCUCCGAAAUCCUACCCAACCCAGGGGUCCAGUUAUAGUCCACAGAAGGAAAAGGGGGGAACAUGCAGAACAAUGAGAGUCUAUUGAAAUUGCUAUGGGGGGAACAGGUGUAUCUACAGAAAAUCAUCCAGGCUGAACAAACACAAUAAUGAAUAAGUCCAUUGAAGUUACUGGAGAAGAACAGGUCAUGUCAUUCUCCCCCCACCACCACUCUCUGUGGUAGGGGUCUCAGUCUCAGUCCUUGGGGAGAGGGUUCUUGAUCUCCGUCUGUCACGGUGGUAACGAGGCAGAUGAGGGGUCUUCAGUGAGAGACC
rnacentral:lncRNA from 1 species